rnacentral:rRNA from 1 species
GACGAACGCUGGCGGCGUGCUUAACACAUGCAAGUCGAACGGAAAGGCCCUGCUUUUGUGGGGUGCUCGAGUGGCGAACGGGUGAGUAACACGUGAGUAACCUGCCCUUGACUUUGGGAUAACUUCAGGAAACUGGGGCUAAUACCGGAUAGGAGCUCCUGCUGCAUGGUGGGGGUUGGAAAGUUUCGGCGGUUGGGGAUGGACUCGCGGCUUAUCAGCUUGUUGGUGGGGUAGUGGCUUACCAAGGCUUUGACGGGUAGCCGGCCUGAGAGGGUGACCGGCCCCAUUGGGACUGAGAUACGGCCCAGACUCCUACGGGAGGCAGCAGUGGGGAAUAUUGCACGAUGGGCGGAAGCCUGAUGCAGCAACGCCGCGUGCGGGAUGACGGCCUUCGGGUUGUAAACCGCUUUCGCCUGUGACGAAGCGUGAGUGACGGUAAUGGGUAACGAAGCACCGGCUAACUACGUG